rnacentral:rRNA from 1 species
CGCGUAGGCGGCCAAGCAAGUCAAAGGUGAAAUCCCUCGGCUCAACCGAGGAACUGCCUCUGAUACUGCUUGGCUUGAGUCCCGGAGAGGGUGGCGGAAUUCCCAGUGUAGCGGUGAAAUGCGUAGAUAUUGGGAGGAACACCUGUGGCGAAGGCGGCCACCUGGACGGGUACUGACGCUGAGGCGCGAAAGCGUGGGGAGCAAACA